CAGUCUCGCUCGAGCAUUCGUGGCAGGUGGAAAUUGUGUUUACCCGCGUUAACACGCUAAGGGCGCAGCGAUACCGCGUAUCCACAGGUUAUCGGCAAUUUGUGUGUUGCGACGCAGUGAAUGAACCCGAUCCGUUUACGUAAACAAGAAGACCGGACGGGCAAGUGGUGACAACCCGUCUCGCUCUCACCGCCAGUUGUCAAAAUUAUAAACUCCAUUCGGACAAGAAUUUGCAAAAAUAUCACCUCGGCUCGCUGGUGUUAGUACGAUUCAUACAAUAAUUAUUUUUAUCGUUGAAGAAAAAAAAAUAAAUAAACAAAUUAUCAUCCCCUAAUUUCGGCGGGGGACUUCUUGCCGAGUUUUUGGGGAGUUUGUCGGAAUGCAGCGACGCUUUGAUGUGAAUCGGUAAAAAAGCCAAGAUACCUCGCACCUCGACGCCGGAAGUUCGGGGUAUAGGGGGUAAAUAUUCAUGGGCAGACCAUCGGCCUCGGAACCAGAGGACCUCGUCGCUGCUUAUGGCAACCUCGGCGUUACCCAUUUACCAUCAGGCCGGCGUCCCGGAGGCCCGGCGAUCACCGGGUGGCGUUAUUCCUCCAAUAACCGCCUGCCCGCCGAGCAGUUUUCCGGAUAAAUUUCAGGACUUUUUCACCGCUCUGACGGAGGAUGCGGACGACAUGCCGAGCUUGCUCGAAGACAAACUCAUCCCCAGGAAAACAGAGCCGAUUAACCCCGAUUUCCGCCCACGCCUCUGGAGCAAACGAACUUUCCAACGGCGCAGCAGCGAGAUCGAGGUACGUGCUCAUCACGCUUCUUUCACCGCGGGCCAGGGCCAAAGCUCCUCCGUAGACGGGCCCAAGUCACCGAAUCCUUCCAGGAGGCGAAGCUCCAGCAUCGCCGUCGCCAGACCGACGCCAGAUCUGCACAGGUUUCUUCAGGCAGAAGCUGGCCCAUGGGGACACUUGUCUCCGUCUCCUAGAAGUCCAACCAGAACUGCUGCGAUUAGUCCCGGCGGACUUUCGUCAACGUCACAUCUGAGUCCCGGAGCAAGUCCCGGAGGACCAAGUCCAACAAGUCCUGCCGGUCCGGCGUCUGCGGGUCGUGGACCAUCACAUCGACAAUACCGUUGCAGGACGAGCAGCAUGCCAGCAGUCCCACGUCACAGACCAAUGCUCGCCGAGAUGAAACGUAGCGGGAUAAACGGCGCCGAAGAGGCCGAGGGUGAAGACGGGGUCGAAUACUACAGACUUCGCUCAUUCUCCAUAACAGCGAACGGCGUUUUCAACUUGGGCGACUCGCUGAGAAGUCGACGUAGUAAAAGUAUCAAUAGCGUAACAUCUUCGGGAACAAGUUGCAGCAGCUCUCGCGAUGCCAGACACCUGAGCCUGGCAUCGCAGCUGUCGGGAACAGAAGGUGAGGAAGACGACAGCAACGGACGCGUCGCUACUUACAAGGUCGGGAUGUUGGGUGCUUCUGGUGUCGGAAAAACGGCUUUAACAGCCCAGUUCACAACCAGCGAGUACAUCUGCGCGUACGACGCUUCGCUAGACGAGGAAUACGGCCAGAAGACGGUGUCCGUUAUGGUCGACGGUCAAGAGACGGAGCUAGAAAUCAUCGACCAUCCAGCCUCGGAAAUGUCGGUCGAGUCCUUUUGCUCAACCUACAACCCGGACGUUUACGUGGUUGUCUACUCAGUCGUCGAUAGAAGAAGCCUGAAAAUGGCGGAGGAGACCCUGCUCUAUCUUUGGAAAAGUGACUACAUGGCGUCGCACGGCGUUAUCCUCGUUGGGAAUAAAGUUGACCUGGAAAGAAAGCGAGAGGUCCCAUUAGUCGUUGGACGUCGGCUGGCAAACAGUUGCGGAUGCAAGUUCAUCGAGACUUCGUCCGGCUUGGCCCACCACGUAGAUGAGCUGCUCGUCGGAAUUCUUGCUCAAGUCAAGCUCAAUCCUCAGCGAGAUCGAGAUCAAGCAACUAGGAGAAAAAGGAGUAAACAUCGCCGGCGUAUGCUCAAGCAUUUACUCGGUAUCAAGAGAAAAACUAAGAGCUGCGAAAAUCUCUUCAUAUUAUAAUUUCGCGAGAAAGCGUUCAGCGGUGAGUAUGAAUGAGAAGAAAUUUUGUACGAUGAUCGGUGUGAUUUUCAUUGAUUCGAAUGAUAAUUUUUACAGCUUUAGAUCUUCGGGUUUUCUUAGCCUAGGAAUCCAAUUAUACAGUCUCUGUCUGUCAUGAAAUUUAAGAUUAUGUAUACUUAUGUAUGAUAAGGCCAUGGCCGAAUAGAGCUAAGUGUGAGAGUCAUACCUGAAGAACAUGUAACUCCGAUUUCUUCAACCCACGUUAUUUCGAAGACGACGAAAACCAGCGUGUACCUGCCUCACGAAAAAUGAGAUUUUAAGGUACGACAGGUGCCGACCAGCAGUUACUAUUUUAAGAUGUUCUUAUUAUUGAGCGAAUGGGGCGAUAAUUUUUAAAACAAGACAAUGCAGUUUUCAAAUAUAAAUGUAAUAAUUGAUAAGGUGAGUGAAAUUUAUUCAUAAUGAAUGUAAUGAUGUGGUAAUUAGAUUUAACUUUCAUCUAAAAGGGAACACCGUAAUAAUAAUCAAUAAUUUAAUGUUUAAGAAAAAUAUUUGACGAUUCAAUAAUGUGGCACUGUAAAUACGUACAUUGUAUGUUGUAUUAUACAUAUAUGUAUAUUAUAUUAUUCUAUAAAAUAAUCAAUAUACAUUUCAUUUGAUAACUCGAAUGUGUUAUGCAUAAGUAUAUUACCACGUUCUGACCCAAAGGGUUCAGUGUUUUGGCACUGCUAGGAAUUGUGCAAAAUAACAAGGCUAUUGGUUUGCAUGAAGGAUGGAGAACAAGGACGCGAGGGAGAAGUAUUUCUCCCUAAUUUUACCUAAUUAUCAAUGAGAAUAUCUCCGUUUUUUAUCAUAAUUAUCUUUCUUCUAAAACUACUAGCCAGAUGAUUGUUGGUGACGAGGUGAAAUUAUUUUUUUGAAGUUUCAUGUCUUUCUACAUAUUUUAGUCAAGAAAAACAUUUAUUUUUAAACAUGAAAAUAUCGUAAAACAUUCGUUUCGCCUAGAUUUAAUCGGAUUAAAGAAUGAUGGUCGACUAAUGAUCUCUUUUGAUAGUAUUCAGAGGAAAAAUUACUGCAAAUUCAGAAAUUAUAUCGUGCUGUUGCUGUGUGUAAUUUGAUUAACUCCUCAAAAUCUUAACAAAAUUCAACGAAAGCUAGCAGCAUAUAAACAUUGACAUUGAAAAACAUCCAGUUUUGAUUGAUUUAAUUUUUACGAUCCCAAGCAUCACAGAUGCUCAUCAUUUCAAUACAUGAAUAGGGCUGUCAACUGAUGAUUCGAGAAUGAAGACACAUUCUAUGAACAGAAUAAAUUCGAACUUUCGCUUACACGCGUAUGGCUAGAACAAAAGAACAAAGUAGGACCAAUAGCUUAGCUGCACUUGAAGCGAUAAGCUAGACGUUUGUAAAAUUUGAGUAUGCUUCAUUAUGUUAUGAAUAUGUGCAAUUCAUGUAUGACAAACGCAGCAAGUAUGAAUGAUACCUUCAUGUUGAACUUCAACUGAAGAAUAUUGUGUACAUCUUGAAUAAAUCAGUCGUGUUAUAAAAGUUAUGAAGAUUUCCCAGAUAAAAUUUUUAAGAAUUUUAAUAAAGCAUGUGAUGUUGUGUAUGCCUAACUUCUGUAAAUAUUAGUAUGUAGCAAAAUUACAUUAAGAUUUAUAUCCUAACGCAUGGUUCUAUAAUAAAACCGAUAUUUACGAGGUAUUACAAGCCUUUUGACUUACGUAUCAGGUUGUCAAAUGUGAGUACUUUAACGUAUGUGGACCACUAUAGUCAACAGAAACUCUUUUAAAUGCACCAAAAUUCAUAAAUAAACUAUGCAACAUUGCAAUCGAUUCUGAUAUAUUAUUCUCGUGCAUCUGUUGCAUGUAACUUUGGCACGAAUGAAAAAAUAUUACCAUAGUCUAGGAAGAAACGAAACUUGAGAGAUUACUUGAAAAAAAAAAAUACAUGUUAUGCGUGUGAGGGAUUCUUAUAUGGAAAUAAG
rnacentral:misc_RNA from 1 species